ensembl:lncRNA
CUUUGGAACAUAGUUCUGACAAAUGCAGGCAGCAGUGCACCUCUGCCUGCAUUUGUCAGUUAAAGUUAAACACAGACAUGGCUAAUAUGUGAACAAGCAUUCACAUACAUACAAUGUGAGAAUGGAGAAACAAGGAGAUUACAGCCUGUACUAUGGUGCCAAAUGGAGCCUGAGAGAAAUGAGAACAUAAAACACAUGCACACAGGAAGGAGAGGGGUGGUGGUUUAAAGGACUCCUUCAAAAACUACUUGUUGAGGCAAAGUAUGCAGUUGGAGUGAUUUUAGAGAGUAUCGUCUUGUUGGUGGUUAUCAUUCUAUUAUUCAUAGGACUGGCUUCCCACCCUGAGUGCAGCUAGUUGAAGAGCUGAAGAAGGAAUACCUGAGGCUUUUGCUGCUGACGGAGAGCAGCAAAGAGUUGCUCGACGAUUUACAGACAGAUUUGGAGUGUUGUGGACUUCAGGGCUACCAGGACUGGAAAUCCAACAUCCCAAAAUCCUGCCUUUGCGCCAAAGAGUCCACUAAUUCGUGUGUGGAAACUCUUGGAGGCAGCUGGGAGGAAAAUCAGACUGUUAUGAUUUAUGAACAGGUAUUAAAGACAUUCUCAUCAUUUUUCCAGGAACUUGUGUAAACUCUAUAAGCUGUUAUGGCAAAAGCAGGCAACUACACCACCCUCACAGAGCCUCCAGACGACUUCCGAUGUCUUUGCUAGUUCUGAUGCUUCCAGCAGUGAUGGCCAUUAUUUAAACAUGCUAAAUAAUAAAUAUAUUUAUGACAAUUGCUUAUAUUGAAUAUAUCCU